ACUAUAAUGACAUUAAACUGAGUCAUUAGAAAACAAAGAAAAUUCAAAUUUAACAGCUUACCAAUCAAAUGUUUUUAAAGAAAACCCUCUUAAAUCUUCUAUUACUAAAAGCAACCAUCCUUGAAUUGACUCUCCAAUUGUUGGACGUUUGUUCAUAAUUGUUGCUGUGGAUUCAUUUUUGCAGUUGUGCCUGACUUUUAUGACUCGACAUGGAGCUUUCUUGGCAAAGAUACUGUAGAUGAGUCUUUCUGACUUCAGGCCCAGUGCUCUAUCCUCUGCUUUCCUGUAACAUUCCAAAAACAAGAGUGCCUGAGAAUCAAUACAUUUGUGAUUUGGCCAUAUAGAGGUGAAAAGAAUACGGAACUAUGAUCCUUUUGAUUCAGAACAAUUCCAAUGGAGUAUGCACUUCUCUGGCACGGAGCAGGUUCCCACUCACUGAACAAUUUCAGAGGAUAUAUAUGUCUUUUACCAGAGAAGACACCAUAUUUCUUCCCUCUAAGACAUGAUUAACAGAGCUCAAAAGAGAAGACCAUCCUCAGAGAAUAAAAACAAAUGCAUUAGGUUGUUAUUUGAGAAA
rnacentral:lncRNA from 1 species